rnacentral:rRNA from 1 species
AUUGAACGCUGGCGGCAGGCCUAACACAUGCAAGUCGGGCGGUAACAGGGGAAGCUUGCUUCCUGCUGACGAGCGGCGGACGGGUGAGUAAUGCAUAGGAAUCUGCCUGAUAGUGGGGGAUAGCCCAGAGAAAUUUGGAUUAAUACCGCAUACGCCCUACGGGGGAAAGGAGGGGAUCUUCGGACCUUCCGCUAUCAGAUGAGCCUAUGUCGGAUUAGCUUGUUGGUGAGGUAACGGCUCACCAAGGCGACGAUCCGUAGCUGGUCUGAGAGGAUGAUCAGCCACACUGGGACUGAGACACGGCCCAGACUCCUACGGGAGGCAGCAGUGGGGAAUAUUGGACAAUGGGCGCAAGCCUGAUCCAGCCAUGCCGCGUGUGUGAAGAAGGCCUUCGGGUUGUAAAGCACUUUCAGCGAGGAGGAAAGGGGUGAUGCUAAUAUCAUCGCCCUGUGACGUUACUCGCAGAAGAAGCACCGGCUAACUCCGUGCCAGCAGCCGCGGUAAUACGGAGGGUGCGAGCGUUAAUCGGAAUUACUGGGCGUAAAGCGUGCGUAGGCGGCCUUUUAAGUUGGAUGUGAAAGCCCCGGGCUUAACCUGGGAACGGCAUCCAAAACUGAGAGGCUCGAGUGCGGAAGAGGAGUGUGGAAUUUCCUGUGUAGCGGUGAAAUGCGUAGAUAUAGGAAAGAACACCAGUGGCGAAAGCGACACUCUGGUCUGACACUGACGCUGAGGUACGAAAGCGUGGGGAGCAAACAGGAUUUAGAUACCCUGGUAGUCCACGCCGUAAACCGAUGUCUACUAGUUGUCGGGACUCUUGCAGUCUUGGUAACGCAGCUAACGCGAUAAGUAGACCGCCUGGGGAGUACGGCCGCAAGGUUAAAACUCAAAUGAAUUGACGGGGGCCC